rnacentral:rRNA from 1 species
AACGAACGCUGGCGGCAUGCCUAACACAUGCAAGUCGAACGAGACCUUCGGGUCUAGUGGCGCACGGGUGCGUAACGCGUGGGAACCUGCCCUUAGGUUCGGAAUAACUCCCCGAAAGGGGUGCUAAUACCGGAUAAUGUCUUCGGACCAAAGAUUAUCGCCUUUGGAUGGGCCCGCGUUGGAUUAGCUAGUUGGUAGGGUAAAAGCCUACCAAGGCGACGAUCCAUAGCUGGUCUGAGAGGAUGAUCAGCCACACUGGGACUGAGACACGGCCCAGACUCCUACGGGAGGCAGCAGUGGGGAAUAUUGGACAAUGGGCGAAAGCCUGAUCCAGCAAUGCCGCGUGAGUGAUGAAGGCCUUAGGGUUGUAAAGCUCUUUUACCCGGGAUGAUAAUGACAGUACCGGGAGAAUAAGCUCCGGUUAACUCCGUG